rnacentral:rRNA from 1 species
UACGAGGGGGGCGAGCGUUGUUCGGAAUUAUUGGGCGUAAAGGGUGCGUAGGUGGGCAGGUAAGUCAGUGGUGAAAUCUCCGGGCUUAACCCGGAAACUGCCGUUGAUACUAUCUGUCUUGAAUAUCGUGGAGGUGGGCGGAAUAUGUCAUGUAGCGGUGAAAUGCUUAGAUAUCAAGUGGAACACCAGUGGCGAAGGCGAGUCUCUGGACAUUUCCUGACGCUGAGGCACGAAAGCCAGGGGAGCAAACGGG